GACGAACGCUGGCGGCGUGCUUAACACAUGCAAGUCGAACGGAAAGGCCCUGCUUUUGUGGGGUGCUCGAGUGGCGAACGGGUGAGUAACACGUGAGUAACCUGCCCUUGACUUUGGGAUAACUUCAGGAAACUGGGGCUAAUACCGGAUAGGAGCUCCUGCUGCAUGGUGGGGGUUGGAAAGUUUCGGCGGUUGGGGAUGGACUCGCGGCUUAUCAGCUUGUUGGUGGGGUAGUGGCUUACCAAGGCUUUGACGGGUAGCCGGCCUGAGAGGGUGACCGGCCACAUCGGGACUGAGAUACGGCCCAGACUCCUACGGGAGGCAGCAGUGGGGAAUAUUGCACAAUGGGCGGAAGCCUGAUGCAGCAACGCCGCGUGCGGGAUGACGGCCUCCGGGUUGUAAACCGCUUUCGCCUGUGACGAAGCGUGAGUGACGGUAAUGGGUAAAGAAGCACCGGCUAACUACGUG
rnacentral:rRNA from 1 species